rnacentral:lncRNA from 1 species
GCUUUGUUAUUUAUUGGUUACUUUGAUAUCAUUAUCACUAACUCACGUCACAGAUUGUUCAAAAAACUAUAUUCGACUCCAUAUCAUAGAGAGAAGUAACAAAGGUAAUUAUUAUACCACAGUAUGUUUUUCAACAUAAAAAAGAAUGAAAAAUGUGUACUAUUUCAUUCCAGACUAUUUUCCAGCUUUAUGGAGAGAAUAUUUGGAAAUUUUUCUCUGUAUUUAUGAUAAAGGUAAUAUUUUUGUGAUAUGGAACGUUGUAGUACUAUUUCAUAGAUCUCUACACUUAUACUCAAUUCAUUAUCUGGAAACGAAAUGUCUUCAAACAACGACAUCAUCAUACCAUUAUACAG